rnacentral:lncRNA from 1 species
CAGUGGAGGACCUGAUGCUGCGAAUCUGCCAUGAAAACAAGGUUGACAGAAACAUGUCUGUAUGCCUUUACACUGCUGAUGGUAUGCCUUUGACCGAUGACCCCUUUUUCAACACAUGGUCUUUGAAUGACAGACAUAUUACAAGUGGGAGUGAACUGUAUGCCAUAUUUACACCAAGGGAAAAUUUAACAGAGUUACCACCGACACAAAGACAGGCCCACAUCAGAAAUGAAGGACCAAGUGUCAUCCGCUGUCACAUAGCGUUACAGGGAGACUUUGAAAUCAAAGUCAACCUCGAAAGUGAUACACUGAGAGAUGUGACACUACGGCUUUCUCUUGAAAGUAGUAUACCAGCACCAGUUCUUCACAUCAGGUCACUGAUGAUCAUAUCAUGGAGAUUACAUAAUU